AGAUAUCAUGGUUUGCCCUCUACCUUAGAAGCAUUACUCUAAUACCUAUAGGUUGAAAAGAGAGAGAGACUAGAAGCAAGAAGGUAAUUUAUGGGGUUAUUGUAAUAAUCUAGGAUGACAGUUUAAAAAAGAGGGGGGGGGAUUCAAAGCAGGCCUGAAUCUUCGGAUACCCCAGUUAAGAAUAAUAAAAUGAGAUCGUAGUUGUUUUUAUGGUUUUCAUAACUGGGGCCAUGAUGAAGAGAGAUGGUCAGGAGUAACUAUAUUGUGCUAAUAAAAGUAAAGUCUUGGACCAGCACAAAGGGUACCAGAGUGAAAGCAUUUACCAAGAAUGUUUUCAUUAAUCAAGAAAAAAAGUCAGAGGUUCAAAGACAAUCAGAUAUCAUUGUAGUUCCAAAUGAUUUGGAAAUGAUGUUGAUUAAAGAUCUGCUAGUAAUAUUCCCAUAACCCAGGUGAGCUUCUGGGAAACUUAGUCUUUAGGUC
rnacentral:ncRNA from 1 species